rnacentral:rRNA from 1 species
UUGGGGUUGCGGACAUAUCAUAACGAAGAGGUAUCGUAAUUGAAGAGGUUUGGAAAGACCCACCACAGAAGGUAAUAGGCCUGUAUGUUAAACGAGAAGACUUUAGAUAUGAUCCAGAGUACCACGGGACACGUGAAACCCUGUGGGAAGCAGGAGGGACCACCCUCCAAGGCUAAAUACUACCUAGUGACCGAUAGCGUAUAGUA